ACGAACUUAAGAAGCAAGCAAGCGACGGUGGAUCCGAGGAGCUGAGCGAUCCAGUAGAGGAUGCCACGCAGGAGAGAGAUGUUACCUCCGACGAAGGCGCCGAAGGUGACUGCGGGGUUGACGUGUCCGCCGGAGAUGUUGGCUGCGACCGAGACGGCAACAAAAAGACCAAAAGCGUGAGCUAGAGCAGCGGCGACGAGCCCGGCAGGAGUGGUGGCGCCGUCGUCAGUGAGCUUGUUGAAGGCCAUGCCGGAGCCUUCGCCGGCGAAGACGAAGAUGAGAGUGGAGAUGAACUCGGCAAGCCCGGCCUUGAGGGCGUCCGGGUGGUACGCAUCCUCGGGUCGGCCCACGGCAAUGUUCUGGAUCGGCAUGGCGGAGGUUUGAAGCUAACUAGUUGAGCGGCUACUACUUCUCUU
rnacentral:lncRNA from 1 species